GUGAAGAACGUAGCGAAAUGCGAUACGUAAUGUGAAUUGCAGAAUUCAGUGAAUCAUCGAAUCUUUGAACGCACAUUGCGCCCGCCAGUAUUCUGGCGGGCAUGCCUGUCCGAGCGUCAUUUCAACCCUCGAACCCCUCCGGGGGGUCGGCGUUGGGGAUCGGCCCUGCCUCUGGCGGUGGCCGUCUCCGAAAAACAGUGGCGGUCUCGCCGCAGCCUCUCCUGCGCAGUAGUUUGCACACUCGCAUCGGGAGCGCGGCGCGUCCACAGCCGUUAAACACCCAACUUCUGAAAUGUUGACCUCGGAUCAGGUAGGAAUACCCGCUGAACUUAAGCAUAUCAAUAAGCGGAGGA
rnacentral:misc_RNA from 1 species